rnacentral:rRNA from 1 species
UACGUAGGGGGCAAGCGUUAUCCGGAUUUAUUGGGUGUAAAGGGGGCGCAGACGGCGAUGCAAGCCAGGAGUGAAAGCCCGGGGCCCAACCCCGGGACUGCUCUUGGAACUGCGUGGCUGGAGUGCAGGAGGGGCAGGCGGAAUUCCUGGUGUAGCGGUGAAAUGCGUAGAUAUCAGGAGGAACACCGGUGGCGAAGGCGGCCUGCUGGACUGCAACUGACGUUGAGGCCCGAAAGCGUGGGGAGCAAACAGG